UAUUCAUAGCAAAAUGUUGAA
rnacentral:piRNA from 1 species